AGCGUUGUCCGGAAUCAUUGGGCGUAAAGCGUGCGCAGGCGGUCUUGCAAGACAGAUGUGAAAUCCCCGGGCUCAACCUGGGAACUGCAUUUGUGACUGCAAGGCUGGAGUGCGGCAGAGGGGGAUGGAAUUCCGCGUGUAGCAGUGAAAUGCGUAGAUAUGCGGAGGAACACCGAUGGCGAAGGCAAUCCCCUGGGCCUGCACUGACGCUCAUGCACGAAAGCGUGGGGAGCAAACAGG
rnacentral:rRNA from 1 species